ACUACUAGGCUCCAUGUCCUUUCACUCAUGUUCAACGUUUAACCGUCCGUCUUAUUUAUUUUUUUUAUGAUUAGUAUUUUCAUUGUUAUUAGAUGAUACAACAUGAACAAUACUUUAUGCGUGACUUAUUUUUUUAAAAAAAAUAUAAAUAAGACGGAUGGUCAAAUGUUUGAUACGGAAACCUGCAACUGCACUCAAC
rfam:Oryza meridionalis cultivar OR44 (W2112) chromosome 12, whole genome shotgun sequence.